rnacentral:misc_RNA from 1 species
GAAAUGCGAUAAGUAAUGUGAAUUGCAGAAUUCAGUGAAUCAUCGAAUCUUUGAACGCACCUUGCGCUUCUUGGUAUUCCGAGGAGCAUGCCUGUUUGAGUGUCAUGGAAUUCUCAACUCUAUUUGCUUUUGUGAAUAGAGCUUGGAUUUGGAGGUUUAUUGCUGGUACUUGUGAUCGGCUCCUCUUGAAUGCAUUAGCUCGAACCUUUGCGGAUCAGCUAUCGGUGUGAUAAUUGUCUACGCCGUUGCAGUGAAGCAUAUCAAUGGGCUCGGCUUCCAAUCGUCCUUUACUGGACAAUGACUUUGACCUUUGACCUCAAAUCAGGUAGGAUCACCCGCUGAACUUAAGC